rnacentral:rRNA from 1 species
UACGAAGGACCCAAGCGUUAUCCGGAUUUAUUGGGUUUAAAGGGUGCGUAGGCGGACUAAUAAGUCAGUGGUGAAAGCCUGAUGCUUAACAUCAGAAUUGCCAUUGAUACUGUUAGUCUUGAGUAUGGUUGAGGUGGGCGGAAUGUGUCAUGUAGCGGUGAAAUGCUUAGAUAUGACACAGAACACCAAUUGCGAAGGCAGCUCGCUAAACCAUAACUGACGCUGAGGCACGAAAGCGUGGGGAGCAAACAGG